GCACUCAUUUUUUUCUCUCACUUCAAACACACCCAACACAACACAGAUAGAGAGAAACAGAGCGCCGUCUUCACUUCAAACAGACCCAACACAACACAGAUAGAGAGAGAGACAGAGAGCGCCGUCUACAUUGCCAUCGUCGUCGCCGUCCACGGCCUUUUCCCUUUCUCUCUCUUUUGAUUUAAGGUUUGGGGUUCACUCCUUUGUUGAUUUAACCACCUGUUGUUGCUGUUUCUCAAAAUCGACUUCUAUUUAAUUCAUCAGCUGACACACACAAUGGAGUAAAAAAUGGAGUUUCAAAGCAACACUCAUUGCUUCACGGAGACCACCACUUCACUGCCAGCCCGUGUUACCUCUACUUUUCUGGUGUUUCAAGUUAUCAAAAAAGGGUAUUAAUUGCUGGGAAAAGUAACAAAACAAUUACACAGUGGAACUUGAAACUGCUGCACGGUUGAGGGCUUCUCGGUUCAUUGUACCUCAAAGGCCAUGGCUUGGCAUGUUGGACUCUAUCAUCUCAUUGUAGUACCCGAGUCAAGCUUUACAGCCAAGCAUAACGAUCUUCUCAAGAAUGACUCCAUAUGCCAUGGGUAGGGCAGCUUGUGUUUGUCGAAAGUGGAGGUAUACAAUUCGGAACCCUGUAUUUUGGCGCAAUGCAUGCCUAAAGGCUUGGCAGAUUGCCGGAGUGGUAGAAAACUAUAAGGUCCUUCAGUUGAAGUAUGGUGGUUCAUGGAGAAAAAUGUGGCUUUUAAGACCAAGGAUUCGCACAGACGAUCUGUUAUUUGGUAACUGGUCGCUGGAUUAAUACGAGUCGUUGAUGUAUUCUGGAAGAACCUAAAGUUUUCAAGACCUACGCCUAAAUGGUGCAUAACGUUGAUAGACCAUAUCUCACCAUAUCUCCAAUAGUUCCUUUGGAGGAUCACAAGAUCUUCAAAUUAUUGAGAAGUGCUAUCCCAUGUAGAAAAGUAUAUUCUUGACGUUGACAAAUGAGCAGGGGCAAUCCCCUGAUUGCAUACUAAAGGACGCAAAAAACACCAGCAAGCUAAGUUAUUCAAGUUUGCUAGGGAGCAUUAAUCCUAUGAGCAGAUCUAGAGUUUAUCAAGCUUUGGCAGAAGAAGAUAUUGAAGCUGAUGCCAAGGGCAAUGAUGUUUAUCUCAGUCUGAUAUUGAUCAAUGUGAAGCAUAUUACGAAGCUGCUGGGGGAACAAGGAAGAGAAGAAUAUAUGAUCUUGGAUCUCAAGCACAAAGUUAUCUGUUUUUUGUUGGAAAGAACAAAAUUAUGCACUAACAAUACUUGAUGGAUGUGUGGGUUCUUUUGGUAGUUGACAGCUUGGUGUUGUCGGUGUUUUGGACUUAACGAUUAGGAUUUCGCUAUCUAUUUUGAAUCUUUUUUAUAAAUAUUAUUUUAUGUGAAUGUCAGUUAUUUUUAAGGGUAUUUAUUACUUUGUAUUUA